AAAGAGAAGCCAAGGAUGUUGGAUUCUUCCAAAGCAUAGAUUUUGAAAAAGAAUAUUGUAGAAUUACGAUGGUUCCCCUCUAAUCAAAUCAUCCAUAAACCAGCAGACAAGGCACCUUUCCAUAAAGGUCUAGCUCAGCCCUAAUACCAAAACUACCAAGGCUUGAACUAAGAGAACAAUUAAAUGAAGGAGGUGCAACCCAAACCAAGUUAAAAGUGUCAAAAAAGCCUACACCAUAAUUUCCAAGCUGUCUCACAGUGGAGGAACAAAUAACUAUGUCUCCCCAUCUUUAUAACACAUAACACAAAUGUCAGGAGAUAAAACUUGGUCAGGCCUAUGAAUUUACAACAACUCAUUAGUUUUUAACUGAUUUAGAAUAACAGUCCAUGUGAACACCUUCACUUCAG
rnacentral:lncRNA from 1 species